AGAAUGAACGCUGGCGGCAUGCCUAACACAUGCAAGUCGAACGAAGGCUUCGGCCUUAGUGGCGCACGGGUGCGUAACGCGUGGGAAUCUACCCCUUGGUUCGGAAUAACAGUUGGAAACGACUGCUAAUACCGGAUGAUGACGUAAGUCCAAAGAUUUAUCGCCGAGGGAUGAGCCCGCGUAGGAUUAGCUAGUUGGUGUGGUAAAGGCGCACCAAGGCGACGAUCCUUAGCUGGUCUGAGAGGAUGAUCAGCCACACUGGGACUGAGACACGGCCCAGACUCCUACGGGAGGCAGCAGUGGGGAAUAUUGGACAAUGGGCGAAAGCCUGAUCCAGCAAUGCCGCGUGAGUGAUGAAGGCCUUAGGGUUGUAAGCUCUUUACCCGGGAUGAUAAUGACAGUACCGGGAGAAUAAGCUCCGGCUAACUCCGCGCCAGCAGCCGC
rnacentral:rRNA from 1 species